UCUGUCGCCCAGGCUGGAGCACAAUGUCAUGAUCUUGGCUCACUGCAGCCUCCACCUCACAAGUUGAAGCCAUUCUCCUGCCUCAGCCUCCCAAAGUACUGGGAUUACAGGGACUGCAUCCACGGACUCCUUUGCUCUCUGGCUUCUGGUUGGAUUUGACCAGUGAAAUAUAUCACAGGAGACAGAGGAAGGAGGUUGCUGAUUCUCUUGGAUAUCCUGGAUAAUCGACUCUCUUUGAUGUCUUAGAUAAGCAAACAUGUCAUCUACCAAUGACAAUUUUACUUCUCCUUUGUAAUCAGUAAAACUUUUAUGUCUCUUUCAUGUAUUACUGAAUGGUCUAAAGUUUCUUGAAAGGUUGUGAUAAUGGGCUUUUAGGACCUUGACUUGCACCUGAUUUUAAUUGGAAUGUCUCUAAUUAUUCAACAUUAGUAUGCAGUUGGUUCUUGAUUUUAGAUAUUCUUUAUAAUGUUUAAGAAGUGUCUUUAUAAUUUCCAGUUCACUACACAUGGCUGUUAUAUGUGUUUUCAUUUCCCAUUAAUCUGGAAUGGGUAAUAAUUUCAUUAAAUGACUUCUCAUACUUUUUGAGAUUAUUAGAAAUGUUCCUUCUCUAAUACAUGAAGAUUUAUUAAAAUAAUACGACUAAUUUUAUAACAGCCUUUUAUUUCAGGAAUAAAACCUACAUAGUCAUAGUAUACUAAUCUUUAAAUACAGUUCUGGACCUUAAUUUCUUGGCAUUUCUUAAAGGUUUUCCCAUUUAUUUUCAAAAUUACAGAUGAGAUCUUUGUUCCUUCUGUGCUAUCAUUGUCACAUUUUGGUGAAAUAAAUUUGCGAACAUUUCUGUCUUUUCUCUGCUUUGAAACAACUUUAAUAACAUGAGAAUUAAUCCAUAACACCAUAAAAUAUUUAACAUUGCCUGUUCCUGGGGUCAUUCCAUAUUAUAGGCGUUCUACUAUGUUUUAAAUUUUAUGUUUUAUUCAGGUUUUUCAUUCUUCUUGAAACAUGUUUGAUUGUUUAUGUUUUCAUAAAACAUGAGUUUUGAGAUAGUGAAAUGUAUUAGUAUAGAGCUUCCAUGACUUAUUCUCAAUUCAAAAAAAAUUAAAAAUUGUAUUUUGAAUUUGUCAAUGCUACUCUUUUUUGUAUAAACGCAUUAGCUUAUAAUCCCUGUUUGCCCUUUCUUCCUACAAUUUGAUUUUAUUGUUAUUCCUACACAUUAAAAUUUCAUAAGGUUCAUCCUUAAUUAACUUAAUUCAUUUUGAUGUUUUCAAUAAUGAAAUUAUUCAGUAUUAUUCAUUUCCCUGUGUGUAUAGCUUUGGUCCCAUUCUCUACCUUCUCUUAUGGUUUCUUUAUUUUUAUCAGG